GCUAUUUUGGCAGAAAAAUGUAAUGAUUUUAGAAUUCAUUUAUAUAUAAUUUAAUUAUAUAGGUAGUA
rnacentral:tRNA from 1 species